rnacentral:rRNA from 1 species
AGCGAGCGUUGUUCGGAGUUACUGGGCGUAAAGAGUGCGUAGGCGGUUUUCUAAGUUUGGUGUGAAAUCUCCCGGCUUAACUGGGAGGGUGCGCCGAAAACUGGAAGGCUUGAGUAUGGGAGAGGUAAGCGGAAUUCCUGGUGUAGCGGUGAAAUGCGUAGAUAUCAGGAGGAACACCUGCGGUGUAGACGGCUUACUGGACCAUAACUGACGCUGAGGCACGAAAGCGUGGGUAGCAAACAGG